AUGGAUUACAGUGUUUUCUGACACACAGUAAACUCCAGUGUGUGGGUGGGAAUUAUCAUUCACAACAUUCACUGAACACAAAUCCUUCCCAGCAUGGCCUGCAGUGGUGCUGCACUUUCACCUGUGUUCUGUCGCACUUCUGAAUGGAGCACUUGUGUGUUUGGAUUGUUUACUAUGCAGACGAAGGGCUUUUGGAGUUCCUGUUUUCUGCUUGCCUACUUGUCUGCGUCUCUGUGCGUGGCAGCUAUCAUCCCGCUGUGAAGCAGUUCUCUACCUGGUGACCAGGCAAGGUGACGACGUUUACUUACGAACAUAUUUACCGAUACGCCCUCUCUCUUUGCUUGCCAGCAUCUCACAUUGUGAUUCUUGUUACAAAAGAGGUUUCUGGUAAGGUUACCAAAUAAAAUCAGUUUGUUUAUGCAAAUGAACUAGUUUUAUGUACUGCAUCGCUUGAAAGAUAUGCAGAUCUAUUUACCGAUACGCCCUCUCUCUUUGCUUGCCAGCAUCUCACAUUGUGAUUCUUGUUACAAAAGAGGUUUCUGGUAAAGGUUACCAAAUAAAAAUCAGUUUGUUUAUGCAAAUGAACAGUUUUUAUGUACUGCAUCGCCUUGAAAAGAUAUGCAGAUCUGUCUUUCAGUAUGAUAACUCAUUUUGUCAAGGCAAAAUAAAUAAAACAAUUAGCCAAAAUUGGCAAAGUGGUGAUAUAAAUAACAUGCAUGUUUUUUUUGAUUGCAUGUUGUUUCUUUGUUUUUCUAUUAUUUUUAAAAUAAGACUAUGUCCUUUGUCCAUAUGCCUGGUUUUUGUAGCGUGUGUGAACUUAAUUGAUGUGUGUGUCACUGCAUUUUUUGCUCAGCAGUCAUGCAUUUUAUGUGCUUAUGGUCCCAUCAGUCCCAUCAAUCUUUUGAACAAAAUACUAGCAUCUCUGCAGUAUAUAGUAUGUAUGCUGUGAAUUUUAUGUAUGCAUAGAACACCUGGAUGGCCUACUACAUUUGCAGAAAUGUUCAACAUACCACCAGAGUGAGCUGUGUGGAAUGCAGUAUCCCACAAUGCAAUGCUUUGGACUUAACAUACAGUACCAUAGAGUGCCGCAGUGAUCACAUAUUUUUGUAGGCCAAACUGGAAGUUAGCAUUACCCUGGUUCCCUCAAAAAAAUCUAAUUGGAUUUUGGAUUAUCGCAGAGAAUAAGAUGUGUGUCCUACCUGUGACCUACAAAAGGUUUUGUUCAUCAUGAUAAAUUUUGAAGCUUAAAUACAAUCACAAGAGGUGUAAAGCUAAACAUUGUCUAUAAACGAACUACUGUCCUUCUCGAUUCAUUAUUUGAUUGGAAUACCAAAAAAAUUACAAAUGUGGAUUUACCUUUUUUUUUUUUUUAUUUAAGAUAUAACUCGAUGCCACUAUCUGAAUGUAGCAACAAUGUAGCAUACUACUGUUUGAAGCAUUUAUUGUUGCAUAAUGGAUGCUGUUUUGCAGUAUAGUAUGCAGUAUGCAUAAACUGUGCAGUAAGUUAGUAUUCAACUCCAAACAUAGUCAACUACUGUAAAUAGUCAACUACUGUAAAAUAUCAAACAACACAGCCCAUUAAUCUAUCCACCAUUAUACAUACAGCUAGAGCUUAAACAGAAGUGAUGAUAAAAUAAACAUUGGGGCAAUGGACAUGGGAGACAAAUUCUCUUGUUUUUACAUUAAGCUUUUUGAUUUUAUUUCUUUGUAAAAAUGUAAAACGCUGUAUUUUCUCUAUAUUUCAUUUUCUUUGGCCGUGUAUGUGCAUGUUUAAAUAUAUGUUUUGUAUUUGUGCGUUUAUGCAUGUGUGUGUGUGUGUGUGUGUGUGUGUGUGUGUGUGUGUGUGUGUGUGUGUGUGUGUGUGUGUGUGUGUGUGAGAGAGAGAGAGAGAGAGAGAGAGAGAGAGAGAGAGAGAGGUAGUAAGUUAGUAGUAGUAGUAGUAGAGAGAGAGAGAGAAUUUUGUAAAGCUGAUGAAGUGGGUACUCCCAGCAUGCAUCUCAUUCUUACACAGUUUUUCAAAAGGCAAUGACUAUGUUCGAAAUAGCAUACUACCCUACUACUUAUACAAUUUUUUUUUCCAGUAUGUA
rnacentral:lncRNA from 1 species